AUUGAACGCUGGCGGCAGGCUUAACACAUGCAAGUCGAGCGCGUAGCAAUACGAGCGGCAGACGGGUGAGUAACGCGUGGGAAUCUACCCAACCCUACGGAAUAACGCAUGGAAACGUGUGCUAAAUACCGUAUACGCCCUUAGGGGAAAGAUUUAUCGGGAUGGAUGAGCCCGCGUUGGAUUAGCUAGUUGGUGGGUAAUGGCUCACCAAGGCGACGAUCAGUAGCUGGUCUGAGAGGAUGAUCAGCCACACUGGGACUGAGACACGGCCCAGACUCCUACGGGAGGCAGCAGUGGGGAAUAUUGGACAAUGGGCGCAAGACCUGAUCCAGCCAUGCCGCGUGAGUGACGAAGGUCUCGGUA
rnacentral:rRNA from 1 species